UCCCAACCCACCCGAGGGGGAGGGACGUGGUGUUUGGUCCCCCGUGCCGCAGGGCGCGGUGGCCCGACAUUGGGGCUGCCGCCGAAUCGUUUCGGGCACAGCACGUGGUGGGCGACACUCAGUUGUUCUCGGUGCAGCGCCCCGGCACGCGGCCGGCGCAUCGGCCCUAAGGACCCAAGGAGCACCGCAGCGCGUAGCCGCUCGGACCGCGAGCCCCAGGUCAGUCGGCGACUACCCGCUGAGGAGUGUAUUUUU
rnacentral:misc_RNA from 1 species